CUUGGUCAUUUAGAGGAAGUAAAAGUCGUAACAAGGUUUCCGUAGGUGAACCUGCGGAAGGAUCAUUACAGAAUGAAAAGUGCUUAACUGCAUUUUUUCUUACACAUGUGUUUUUCUUUUUUUGAAAACUUUGCUUUGGUAGGCCUUCUAUAUGGGGCCUGCCAGAGAUUAAACUCAACCAAAUUUUAUUUAAUGUCAACCGAUUAUUUAAUAGUCAAAACUUUCAACAACGGAUCUCUUGGUUCUCGCAUCGAUGAAGAACGCAGCGAAAUGCGAUAAGUAAUAUGAAUUGCAGAUAUUCGCGAAUCAUCGAAUCUUUGAACGCACAUUGCGCCCUUUGGUAUUCCAAAGGGCAUGCCUGUUUGAGCGUCAUUUCUCCCUCAAACCCUCGGGUUUGGUGUUGAGCGAUACGCUGGGUUUGCUUGAAAGAAAGGCGGAGUAUAAACUAAUGGAUAGGUUUUUUCCACUCAUUGGUACAAACUCCAAAACUUCUUCCAAAUUCGACCUCAAAUCAGGUAGGACUACCCGCUGAACUUAAGCAUAUCAAUAAGCGGAGGAA
rnacentral:rRNA from 1 species